UGCCCCGUCCACCUCCCACGGCAUCAGCCAUUGCUUCUGGACCUACCAAUACUGCAAGCGGUGCACCUCCGCCGCCACGCCCACCUGGUGCACCUCCUCCUCCACCACCUCCUGGGAAACCUGGCGGCCCACCGCCACCGCCGCCUCCUCCUGGGUCUCUAUCCAGGAGCCUCGCUGGUGGUGAAAAGGUACACCGUGCUCCGGAGGUCGUGGAGUUUUAUCAGAGUCUCAUGAAGCG
rnacentral:lncRNA from 1 species